UACGUAGGUCCCGAGCGUUGUCCGGAUUUAUUGGGCGUAAAGCGAGCGCAGGUGGUUUAUUAAGUCUGGUGUAAAAGGCAGUGGCUCAACCAUUGUAUGCAUUGGAAACUGGUAGACUUGAGUGCAGGAGAGGAGAGUGGAAUUCCAUGUGUAGCAGUGAAAUGCGUAGAUAUAUGGAGGAACACCGGUGGCGAAAGCGGCUCUCUGGCCUGUAACUGACGCUGAGGCACGAAAGCGUGGGGAGCAAAUAGG
rnacentral:rRNA from 1 species